AUGGUUACAAAUGUCCAGCAGAAUAAGAGCUAGAAUUCUACUGCACAACGUUGUUAAAUUUCCUAUGAAUAUUUAUGUAUCCUAGUUUGUUAAAGCAGUCAUUAUAUGGAUAUUGGGAUAAAUUUGAUGUAAGCCUAGUUAAUAAACUAUGCUGCCUGUCCAAUGAGUUCUUGUUCGGCAUCAGCAUCUACUCAAACACUUGAUGCAUUGCUGUAAUUUUGGGCUUUGUUCAACUCAUCAACCAUCAGCUCUUUGCUGAAAGGUGCUUUUGGAUUGCAUGUUUAGUUUAAUGGCCACAUCAUGCGCAUAAGCGACUGCUGAUUUGUUUUUGUUUUUUUCAACUGCAAAUGAGGCUGUUAAACAAAACUAGAGAGUGUGUUGAUAUGAUAUACACAAAAGAUUCUGGCUUUUGAAUCAGUUUCUCUCGCUUUAGAGGAGUCUAGAUAGAGAAGGCAUCUCACUCACAACAAAAUAAAAGACUAUAUAUAUAUAUAUAGGAGUAUGUUAGUUGUCACCUUAAUUAUAUAUCUAUACCAGACUUGCAUUAGACACUAGAAUAUUGCUAAGAAGAAAAACCAUCAUGAAGUUUUCCAUGUGGCUUAUAAGUUUGGUGCUCGUGUUUUCAUGUGCAGCGAUUGUAGGUGGCCCCAUCACCAAGCCUAUAACGAUUGCCAGACGCGAAUUGGAGGCUGAGUUUAGGAUGAGCCCAAGUCAGCAUGAGUGGCCUCAGAGAUCAAGCCCUGGAGGGCCUGAUCAGCACCAUCAUCGCAGCCGCCUCUCAUCUUCAAAACAAAGAAACCAGAUUGAUUAAUGAGGCUUACAACGAUCGUGCUUUGCGAGUUGUACUUUGCCCAGAUUCUCAGCAGAGAUUGGUGAAUAAUGUAGACUUUACUUGUUCAAUCAUUGAUGUUGAUGAUUCUCUCCACAAGAUCUUGGAACAUACUUUUCGAAUAUCUGUUAUCUGUUGUAUGUGUUUUUUACUUCAAGAACAAGAAUGUGUUGCAGAAAUCUCAACUAAUUAAGCAGUAAGUAUUAACAGAUGCUAAAGAUGGAAAAGGUUGUGCAAAUUCUG
rnacentral:lncRNA from 1 species